rnacentral:rRNA from 1 species
UAAGWUWUWAAAAGUUAUUGUCUAGAAAGUUAAAGAUUUUGGCGGUAUUUUAGUCUUUUCAGAGGAACCUGUUCUUUAAUUGAUAGUCCACGAUUAGAAUUACUUGUUUUAAAAAUUUGUAUAUCGUUGUAGUUGAAUAUUUUAUAAGAAUUUAAAUGUUCAAAAUUUUUGAUAAAAAAAGUAAAUCAAAUCAAGGUGCAGUUUAUAAAUAAGAAGUAAUGGGUUACAAAAAAUUUAUUUUUUGAUUUGUAGUUUAAAAUUACAAUGAAAUUGGAUUUGAAUGUAAUUAAGUUAAUAUUAAUUAAAU